rnacentral:rRNA from 1 species
GACGAACGCUGGCGGCGUGCUUAACACAUGCAAGUCGAACGGAAAGGCCCUGCUUUUGUGGGGUGCUCGAGUGGCGAACGGGUGAGUAACACGUGAGUAACCUGCCCUUGACUUUGGGAUAACUUCAGGAACUGGGGCUAAUACCGGAUAGGAGCUCCUGCUGCAUGGUGGGGGUUGGAAAGUUUCGGCGGUUGGGGAUGGACUCGCGGCUUAUCAGCUUGUUGGUGGGGUAGUGGCUUACCAAGGCUUUGACGGGUAGCCGGCCUGAGAGGGUGACCGGCCACAUUGGGACUGAGAUACGGCCCAGACUCCUACGGGAGGCAGCAGUGGGGAAUAUUGCACAAUGGGCGGAAGCCUGAUGCAGCAACGCCGCGUGCGGGAUGACGGCCUUCGGGUUGUAAACCGCUUUCGCCUGUGACGAAGCGUGAGUGACGGUAAUGGGUAAAGAAGCACCGGCUAACUACGUGCCAGCAGCCGCGGUGAUACGUAGGGUGCGAGCGUUGUCCGGAUUUAUUGGGCGUAAAGGGCUCGUAGGUGGUUGAUCGCGUCGGAAGUGUAAUCUUGGGGCUUAACCCUGAGCGUGCUUUCGAUACGGGUUGACUUGAGGAAGGUAGGGGAGAAUGGAAUUCCUGGUGGAGCGGUGGAAUGCGCAGAUAUCAGGAGGAACACCAGUGGCGAAGGCGGUUCUCUGGGCCUUUCCUGACGCUGAGGAGCGAAAGCGUGGGGAGCGAACAGGCUUAGAUACCCUGGUAGUCCACGCUGUAAACGGUGGGUACUAGGUGUGGGGUCCAUUCCACGGGUUCCGUGCCGUAGCUAACGCUUUAAGUACCCCGCCUGGGGAGUACGGCCGCAAGGCUAAAACUCAAAGGAAUUGACGGGGCCCCGCACAAGCGGCGGAGCAUGCGGAUUAAUUCGAUGCAACGCGUAGAACCUUACCUGGGUUUGACAUGGAUCGGGAGUGCUCAGAGAUGGGUGUGCCUCUUUUGGGGUCGGUUCACAGGUGGUGCAUGGCUGUCGUCAGCUCGUGUCGUGAGAUGUUGGGUUAAGUCCCGCAACGAGCGCAACCCUUGUUCACUGUUGCCAGCACGUUAUGGUGGGGACUCAGUGGAGACCGCCGGGGUCAACUCGGAGGAAGGUGGGGAUGACGUCAAGUCAUCAUGCCCCUUAUGUCCAGGGCUUCACGCAUGCUACAAUGGCUGGUACAGAGAGUGGCGAGCCUGUGAGGGUGAGCGAAUCUCGGAAAGCCGGUCUCAGUUCGGAUUGGGGUCUGCAACUCGACCUCAUGAAGUCGGAGUCGCUAGUAAUCGCAGAUCAGCAACGCUGCGGUGAAUACGUUCCCGGGGCU